AUUGAACGCUGGCGGCAGGCCUAACACAUGCAAGUCGAGCGGGGUUUUCGGACCUAGCGGCGGACGGGUGAGUAAUGCGUAGGAAGCUGCCCGAUAGAGGGGGAUACCAGUUGGAAACGACUGUUAAUACCGCAUAAUGUCUACGGACCAAAGUGUGGGACCUUCGGGCCACAUGCUAUCGGAUGCGCCUACGUGGGAUUAGCUAGUUGGUGAGGUAAUGGCUCACCAAGGCGACGAUCUCUAGCUGGUUUGAGAGGAUGGUCGGCCACACUGGAACUGAGACACGGUCCAGACUCCGACGGGAGGCAGCAGUGGGGAAUAUUGGACAAUGGGCGCAAGCCUGAUCCAGCCAUGCCGCGUGUGUGAAGAAGGCCUUCGGGUUGUAAAGCACUUUCAGCGAGGAGGAAGGGUGGUGUGUUAAUAGCACAGCAUUUUGACGUUACUCGCAGAAGAAGCACCGGCUAACUCUGUGCCAGCCGCCGCCGUAACAC
rnacentral:rRNA from 1 species